UGGUGGAGUGAUUUGUCUGGUUAAUUCCGAUAACGAACGAGACCUUAACCUGCUAAAUAGUCACAUUCAGGUUUACUGGGUGCUUGACUUCUUAGAGGGACUAUAGACGUUUAGUCUAUGGAAGUUUGAGGCAAUAACA
rnacentral:rRNA from 1 species